ACAGCAGUCGCCGCGGUAAUACAGAGGGUGCAAGCGUUAAUCGGAGUUACUGGGCGUAAAGGGCGCGUAGGCGGUUAUAUAAGUGAGAUGUGAAAUCCCCGGGCUCAACCUGGGAACUGCAUCUUAUACUGCGUAGCUGGAGUGCAGUAGAGGGUAGUGGAAUUUCCGGUGUAGCGGUGAAAUGCGUAGAUAUCGAAAGGAACACCAGUGGCGAAGGCGGCUACCUGGACUGACACUGACACUGAGGCGCGGAAGCGUGGGGAGCAAACAGGAUUAGAUACCCGCGUAGUCCCUGUCUCUUAUAC
rnacentral:rRNA from 1 species